UACGGAGGGAGCAAGCGUUACUCGGAAUUACUGGGCGUAAAGAGCUCGUAGGUGGUUUGUCGCGUUGUCCGUGAAAACUCACAGCUCAACUGUGGGCGUGCGGGCGAUACGGGCAGACUGGAGUACUGCAGGGGAGACUGGAAUUCCUGGUGUAGCGGUGGAAUGCGCAGAUAUCAGGAGGAACACCGGUGGCGAAGGCGGGUCUCUGGGCAGUAACUGACGCUGAGGAGCGAAAGCGUGGGGAGCGAACAGG
rnacentral:rRNA from 1 species